UUGUGGAAAUAAGAGAUAGAAGGAGGAAGGAGGGAAGAACAAAAAGCCUUUCUAGUUUGAGGCUUGGAAAAUACAGUGACCCGAAAUGAACUUUGGAAUGAAAAGAAGCUGAGGGCUACACUGGUCUUAGGUUUAACAUGCCAGGGAUAUGCCAGCUGAGUGCCUUUAACCCAGCUACUUGAGAAGCUGAGGAGGGAAGGUCCCUUGAGACCAGGAAUUCGAGACCAGUCUGGGCAACAUAGCAAGAUCCAGACUCAAAAAAACCCAACCAACCAAACCAAAAAACUCCACCAGGAUUGCAACCCCAACUCUGCCACUUACUGGCCGCACGACUCCCACGCAUAUUGCUUUACUUUGAGCCUCAGUUUCCACAUCUUGUAAAAUGGUUUUCUUUUUUGGAGUUAUGAAAAUUAAAUGAGAUGACACAUGUACCUGAGCCCAGCAAAGUGCCUGCUACUCAAUAACUGUUGUUAAGUGAGAGAUAACAGGGAAAAGGUUGGCAUAUUUCACCUCAUAUAGAGGGACAUGUAGUCAUCACUGAUAUAUAAAAUAUUGCAAGAGACCAGUAACUGUUUCGAGUGAUUCCACCAAAUGACUAUAUAUGUCUAAACAUUAAAGUAUGACAUAUGAAGUAUCAUCAGGAACAUCAAUUUUAUGUCUCAAUGCCAGCUUUACUGAGAUGCGUAACUGUUUAUAUUUAUAAUGCAAAUGUAUUGCACGAUUCCUGGUCAGAAGAGUUUAAACGUCUGUUCUUUUCUCUCCCCCUUCCUCCCUCCCGAGAAUAUGUACUCCUUCCCCACACUGUCCCUCCAGCACCCUUCAUCUGCCUGUCACUUUUCAAAGACAAGCUCCUCAGAAUGAAAUCUCUGCUCUUUGUUUUCCUGGUUUCCAUUUUGUAUCCUAAAAUAUUCACUCCAAGUUCCGCCUGACAGACGUCCCUAAUCUAAUCUCCACGUCUGCUUUCUAAUUUUCACAGUCAGGAUAAAACAAAUAGGUUGGAGUUAAUUGCCGGAGCAGCGGGCCGGAGCGCUGAGCUGUGAUUUAUGAGCUGAGUGCAGGCGCUCUGCAACACAUUUUUCUUAAUUUAUUUUUAAUGAGUCUCUCAAUUAAUUUUCUUGGAAACAUCUUAAUGAUGUUGGAGGCGGGUGUUAAUGAGGUCUGCACCAGCUCCUAAUUUUGCAUAUUUUAAAGUGCCUAAUGUCAUCAUGCACCCUUUCUUUCCAUUUUAAGAAGAGGUGUCGGGGGUGGCGGGGGGUGAGGAUUAUUGUUGAAUGGAGAAUUUUCACUCUUCAUGCCUCAGUCUUUGCUUAACCUUUCAGACUUCAUGGGCUUUUGGUGUUCUCAGCACAAUCCCAUGCCCCCUGCUCUCCUUCCCCACCCUUGCUCUCUCUAGGCUCGCUUAGGCUGAGAAGCUGCAGCAGGAAAGGGAGGGAAAGGGCACAAUCCUCAGGAAACUGAGAGUUCUGGGGAGCAGUCAGUGGCCCUAGUGAAGAUGUCCAGGCGGUACUUUUGCUAGGUUGAUUGACCUUUCCCAAAGCAGACUGUGAUUAGAGAAAAAUGCAACUGGAAGAAACAACUCAAGGGAUGUGUUCUUACCAUCUGGCCAUUUGUUCAGAGCCCUGGGUCCCCUCAAUGUGUCUGCAGAGUCUGGGGCAUCAGAUCCACAGGACUGCAGCACUGUCCACCUUGCAUCCUGCAAGGCCUGGAAAAAAAUGCCCGAGUACUGUCUCUGAGCCCUGUCUCAUACCUCCUGUCUCCACUAAGUCUUCAUCAUUCUUCACUCUGCAUUUGCUACUUGGAGCUCAUUUUUCUGAUUAAAUAGUCGUUAAAUGUUUAUAUAGAAAAUCAAGGAAAUGCAAAAGAAUUUAUGAAUUAAGGGAAAACCAAGCUCUAAUGCUUAAAGACAACCUCUAUUCAAAUUAUGGUAUGUUUCCUUCUAGAUAUUUUUUUCCUGUUCAUGGGCUUUUGGUUUUUAUUUUAUGCAUUUGUGAUGAUACCAAAUGUCCUUUUUUCCAUUUAACAUUAUAACAUUAGAUAGCAUACUUCCUGGCCGGGCGCGGUGGCUCAAGCCUGUAAUCCCAGCACUUUGGGAGGCCGAGAUGGGCGGAUCACGAGGUCAGGAGAUCGAGACCAUCCUGGCUAACACGGUGAAACCCCAUCUCUACUAAAAAGUACAAAAAACUAGCCGGGCGAGGUGGCGAGCGCCUGUAGUCCCAGCUACUCGGGAGGCUGAGCCAGGAGAAUGGCGUAAACCCGGGAGGCAGAGCUUGCAGUGAGCAGAGAUCCGGCCACCGCACCCCAGCCUGGGUGACAGAGCGAGACUCCGUCUCAAAAAAAAAAAAAAAAA
ensembl:lncRNA